rnacentral:rRNA from 1 species
AUUGAACGCUGGCGGCAGGCCUAACACAUGCAAGUCGAGCGGAUGAAGGGAGCUUGCUCCCGGAUUUAGCGGCGGACGGGUGAGUAAUGCCUAGGAAUCUGCCUGGUAGUGGGGGACAACGACUCGAAAGGGUCGCUAAUACCGCAUACGUCCUACGGGAGAAAGUGGGGGAUCUUCGGACCUCACGCUAUCAGAUGAGCCUAGGUCGGAUUAGCUAGUAGGUGAGGUAAUGGCUCACCUAGGCAACGAUCCGUAACUGGUCUGAGAGGAUGAUCAGUCACACUGGAACUGAGACACGGUCCAGACUCCUACGGGAGGCAGCAGUGGGGAAUAUUGGACAAUGGGCGAAAGCCUGAUCCAGCCAUGCCGCGUGUGUGAAGAAGGUCUUCGGAUUGUAAAGCACUUUAAGUUGGGAGGAAGGGUUGUAGUUUAAUACGCUGCAAUCUUGACGUUACCAACAGAAUAAGCACCGGCUAACUCUGUG